rnacentral:rRNA from 1 species
AUACGGAGGAUCCGAGCGUUAUCCGGAUUUAUUGGGUUUAAAGGGUGCGCAGGCGGCCAUUUAAGUCAGCGGUUAAAUCGUGGGGCUCAACCCCAUUCUGCCGUUGAUACUGGGUGGCUUGAUUGCGGUCGAGGUUGGUGGAAUUCGUUGUGUAGCGGUGAAAUGCAUAGAUAUGACGAAGAACACCGAUUGCGUAGGCAGCUGACCAGACCGCAAAUGACGCUCAUGCACGAAAGUGCGGGGAUCGAACAGGAUUAGAUACCCUGGUAGUCCGCACAGUAAACGAUGAAUACUUGUUUUCGGCGAUAUAAUGUCGGAGGCAAAGCGAAAGCGAUAAGUAUUCCACCUGGGGAGUACGCCGGCAACGGUGAAACUCAAAGGAAUUGACGGGG